rnacentral:lncRNA from 1 species
GUGAACCUCUCUGUGGGUUUCAGAACGCCAGGGUCUGAACAGAGAAGCUUCAGAAUACUUUCUCCGACUGGAGAACGUUUUUAUUGUGGGAGGAAAAAAUGUUGCCAGUCUCACUUCACAGACACCUGGAAUUCAUGAAGUCUGAGGACUUCUUUCAUUUUACUUUCAACUAAAAGCUCCAGCAUGAAACAGCAAAGGCUCACAGAGCUCAAGAUCAGGAGGUGGCCCUGUGAGAGGGUAUUCGGCCUGGAUCCCUGGUGAAACUCCAUCACUGAGCAGCGUAUCUACUUCAGAAAACGUGGAAAGAAAAGAGCCUGGUGGGAAAAGUCGAUCAAGUGACAAUGACGUGCCCUUACGGAAAAAUCUCUGGGAAAAUCCCUCCAAAACCCCCCAAGGUGAACCUCACGUCAACCAAAACCAAGACAUGAGCCAGAGCCUAAACAGAGGAAAGAAAACAGAAGAGAGGAUUCUAGUGAUGUAUCUGGUCAUCAUUCCAAGCAACCAAGCUGAACUUUUGCAUUGACAAACAAUUUUUUCCAGAGCAUUUUAAAAUUUACAGAAUUCAACCCUGUCAACAAGACGGAGGGUCUCCCAAAUGCUGCAAUCUGCUCCGUGCUCUGUGCUGCUCUGCUGGGCUGUCACAACUGCUCCCUGUGCGUUUCUGCAGGCGAGGUCUUCUCCCAGGAUUUUGUUUGUGUGUUUCCCUCAAUUCACUUCACAACCAUGGUCUUCAUCGGGGAACAGCUCAGAUGCCUCUUCAGGACCAGGGAGGUGAAACAGCAGAAUGCAGGGGUGAGAAUGAACAAGAAAGCCACCGGCGAGACUGUGCUAAAAGCGGGGAGUGCACCUUCAGUGGAAAGGGGGCAGCCGCCAAAUGCUGCAAAAUAAUGUGCCCAGGGCUAUGAGUGCUUCCUCUUUUCCGUGGAGGCAGAAAUCUAGAUUUUUAAGUAAAA